UACGUAGGUGGCAAGCGUUGUCCGGAUUUACUGGGCGUAAAGAGCGCGCAGGCGGUCGUUCAAGUCGCGUGUGAAAGCCCCCGGCUCAACUGGGGAGGGUCACGCGAUACUGAUCGACUCGAAGGCAGGAGAGGGUAGUGGAAUUCCCGGUGUAGUGGUGAAAUGCGUAGAUAUCGGGAGGAACACCAGUGGCGAAGGCGACUACCUGGCCUGUUUCUUGACGCUGAGGCGCGAAAGCUAGGGGAGCAAACGGG
rnacentral:rRNA from 1 species